rnacentral:rRNA from 1 species
GACGAACGCUGGCGGCGUGCCUAAUACAUGCAAGUCGAGCGAAUCUCAGGGAGCUUGCUCCCUGAGAUUAGCGGCGGACGGGUGAGUAACACGUGGGUAACCUGCCUGUAAGACUGGGAUAACUUCGGGAAACCGGAGCUAAUACCGGAUAAUUUCUUUUCUCGCAUGAGGAGAGAUGGAAAGAUGGUUUCGGCUAUCACUUACAGAUGGACCCGCGGCGCAUUAGCUAGUUGGUGAGGUAACGGCUCACCAAGGCGACGAUGCGUAGCCGACCUGAGAGGGUGAUCGGCCACACUGGGACUGAGACACGGCCCAGACUCCUACGGGAGGCAGCAGUAGGGAAUCUUCCGCAAUGGACGAAAGUCUGACGGAGCAACGCCGCGUGAGCGAAGAAGGCCUUCGGGUCGUAAAGCUCUGUUGUUAGGGAAGAACAAGUACGAGAGUAACUGCUCGUACCUUGACGGUACCUAACCAGAAAGCCACGGCUAACUACGUGCCAGCCGCCGCGGUAAUAC